rnacentral:rRNA from 1 species
UACGGAGGGUGCGAGCGUUGUCCGGAAUCACUGGGCGUAAAGGGCGCGUAGGCGGCGCGGUAAGCGUGCGGUGAAAGCCCGGGGCUCAACCCCGGGUCGGCCGUGCGGACUGCCGGGCUCGAGCACUGUAGAGGCGGGUGGAAUUCCGGGUAUAGCGGUGGAAUGCGUAGAGAUCCGGAAGAACACCGGUGGCGAAGGCGGCCCGCUGGGCAGUGGCUGACGCUGAGGCGCGACAGCGUGGGGAGCGAACAGG